rnacentral:rRNA from 1 species
GACGAACGCUGGCGGCGUGCUUAACACAUGCAAGUCGAACGGAAGGCUCCAGCUUGCUGGAGUACUCGAGUGGCGAACGGGUGAGUAACACGUGGGUAAUCUGCCCUGCACUCUGGGAUAAGCCUGGGAAACUGGGUCUAAUACUGGAUAUGACCUUUCUCCUUAUGGGGUUUGGUGGAAAGUUUUUCGGUGUAGGAUGAGCCCGCGGCCUAUCAGCUUGUUGGUGGGGUGAUGGCCUACCAAGGCGACGACGGGUAGCCGGCCUGAGAGGGUGAUCGGCCACAUUGGGACUGAGAUACGGCCCAGACUCCUACGGGAGGCAGCAGUGGGGAAUAUUGCACAAUGGGCGGAAGCCUGAUGCAGCGACGCCGCGUGAGGGAUGACGGCCUUCGGGUUGUAAACCUCUUUCAGCAGGGACGAAGCGUAAGUGACGGUACCUGCAGAAGAAGCACCGGCUAACUAUGUG